AAUGAAUUGCCUGAUAAAAGGAUUACCUUGAUAGGGUAAAUUAUGUAUUAAGUAGUACAUUCAUUA
rnacentral:tRNA from 1 species